AUUUAGCUACUCCCCACAUCUUCACACUGGAAACUCAGAAAGGAGCUUUGUUUGGGCCCAGCAAAGCCCUGGAGCCUGGAGUGCCCCAUGAGAUGGCUCUGGAAUGAAUGAAGCAGUUCUUGGGGCCUUCCAGGAAACACUGGCUCCCCGGAGCUGGAGUGGCUGGCCGCCUGGUGAAAAGCUAUAAUUAGCAGAGGAGAAUGGAUGUGAUUGCACACUGGCAUUGACAGUUCAUUUUAUAUUCAGAUGGAAACAUAAACGGAUGUCAUCAGAGAUGAAGACCUCUCAAAAGUAUAUGAAUCAAUUCUGAAAGUAUUAAGAUGUUCUGCUGUUGGUUCAGUGACAGCAUCACUUUCAUCAAGAUGGAAAAUGAAACCCCAUUUCCGUUCACCUGAAGUUCACCUCGUCCUCGCAUAGUUCAAUCACUCCCUGCCCAGCCGUGAAGACCUCACUUCUCCGUGGGGUUCUUCUUCAACCACAGUCCUCAGCCUUGAGGUGGAGGGAUGUCUAGGCUCUGUGUCUGGUUCAGGGUUAG